AUUGAACGCUGGCGGCAGGCUUAACACAUGCAAGUCGAGCGAGCGGCGGACGGGUGAGUAAUGUCUGGGAAACUGCCCGAUGGAGGGGGAUAACUACUGGAAAAGGUAUCUAAUACCGCAUACCAUCAGAUGUGCCCCGAUGGGAUUAGCUAGUAGGUGGGGUAAUGGCGCACAUAGGCGACGAUCCCUAGCUGGUCUGAGAGGAUGACCAGCCACACUGGAACUGAGACACGGUCCAGACUCCUACGGUAGGCAUCAGUGGGGAAUAUGGCACAAUGGGCGCAAGCCUGAUGCAGCCAUGCCGCGUGUGUGAAGAAGGCCUUCGGGUUGUAAAGCACUUUCAGCGAGGAGGCUUUACUCGCAGAAGAAGCACCGGCUAACUCCGUGCCAGCAGCCGCGGUAAUAC
rnacentral:rRNA from 1 species